GGGGAUUUAGCUCAGUGGUGUAAGCACCGGCCUGGCAAGUGCUGAGGUCAUGAGUUCAAUCCUCAGUAUCCCCC
rnacentral:tRNA from 1 species